rnacentral:rRNA from 1 species
UACGAAGGGGGCUAGCGUUGCUCGGAAUUACUGGGCGUAAAGCGCACGUAGGCGGCUUUCUAAGUCGGGGGUGAAAUCCUGGAGCUCAACUCCAGAACUGCCUUCGAUACUGGAAAGCUCGAGUCCGGGAGAGGUGAGUGGAACUGCGAGUGUAGAGGUGAAAUUCGUAGAUUAUUCGCAAGAACACCAGUGGCGAAGGCAGCUCUC